UACGUAGGGUGCAAGCGUUGUCCGGAAUUAUUGGGCGUAAAGAGCUCGUAGGCGGUCUGUCACGUCGGCUGUGAAAACUCGGGGCUCAACCCCGAGCCUGCAGUCGAUACGGGCAGACUAGAGUCCGGCAGGGGAGACUGGAAUUCCUGGUGUAGCGGUGAAAUGCGCAGAUAUCAGGAGGAACACCGGUGGCGAAGGCGGGUCUCUGGGCCGGAACUGACGCUGGAGGAAGCGAAAGCGUGGGGAGCAAACAGG
rnacentral:rRNA from 1 species